UCUGGGUCCACCUCCCACCCGUGUUUAUUUACCUUGUUGCUUCGGCGGGCCCGCCUUAACUGGCCGCCGGGGGGCUUACGCCCCCGGGCCCGCGCCCGCCGAAGACACCCUCGAACUCUGUCUGAAGAUUGUAGUCUGAGUGAAAAUAUAAAUUAUUUAAAACUUUCAACAACGGAUCUCUUGGUUCCGGCAUCGAUGAAGAACGCAGCGAAAUGCGAUACGUAAUGUGAAUUGCAAAUUCAGUGAAUCAUCGAGUCUUUGAACGCACAUUGCGCCCCCUGGUAUUCCGGGGGGCAUGCCUGUCCGAGCGUCAUUGCUGCCCUCAAGCACGGCUUGUGUGUUGGGCCCCGUCCUCCGAUUCCGGGGGACGGGCCCGAAAGGCAGCGGCGGUACCGCGUCCGGUCCUCGAGCGUAUGGGGCUUUGUCACCCGCUCUGUAGGCCCGGCCGGCGCUUGCCGAUCAACCCAAAUUUUUAUCCAGGUUGACCUCGGAUCAGGUAGGGAUACCCGCUGAACUUAAGCAUAUCAAUAAG
rnacentral:misc_RNA from 1 species